UUGGAAGUUUACUCAAUGGAAUUAAAAACCCUUUCCGAGAACCUAAUAUCGAAAAUGGGAGAAGUGUUAAAUAUCAAAGAUGAAGAAAUGAGAGAAUUCUUUGAAAAUGGAGUGCAAGCAAUGAGGAUGAAUUAUUACCCUCCAUGUCCUCAGCCCGAGAAGGUUAUGGGCCUGUCGCCUCAUUCUGAUGCAGCUGCACUUGCCAUUCUGCGACAACUUAAUGAAGUGGAGGGUCUCCAGAUAAAGAAGGAUGGAAAGUGGAUUCCUGUUACCCCACUCCCGGAUGCUUUCAUUGUCAACAUUGGAGACACAUUGGAGGCAAUAAUUAUAAUAAAUUACCUUAACCUGGCAUUUUUAUGCGCUUGCUUAUGUGCUUUAAUAAUUUUUGCAUGGCAGAUUAUAACCAAUGGGACAUACCCUAGCAUUGAGCAUCGUGCAGUUGUAAACUCUGUACAGGAAAGACUUUCCGUUGCCACAGCUUACUCACUGAGAUAUGAUGGUGAAGUGUAUCCUGCCCCCAGUUUGAUCUCUGAAAAAACUCCUCCUUUGUUUAGAAGAGUGAGAAUUGAAGAAUACUUUAGGAGCCGGUAUGCUCGUGAGCUUAGGGGAAAAUCUCAGCUGGAUUCCCUGAGAAUUCAACAUAGUCAAGGCUAGUAUAAGUUUAAUUCGGAUAACUAAAGAGUUUGGUACAAAAACUCUGAAGCAGCUCGCUAUUAAGAUUGUGCGUGGAACUGAAAAUAAGAAAUAAGUUCUAUGAAUACUGUGGAAUAACCUGCUAUGCUAGGGUCGAUCUGUUUCUAAUAGCUCUAUCAUUUGAUAUACUGAAAAGACCAUGUAAUAAUCUUAAGAAUUGCAGACUUAUGCCUGGAAUCUUCCGAUGAUAUAUAGGGGUGCUUAUAUCAGAUCAGUAUCUUUCUUUCUUGAAGUAGAAUUUUUGCAUACCUGACUUGUUUUUAAUGAGAUUUCAAGGACUAUAUGACUUGGUUUCCAAAUUUUUAUGAUACAUACAGAUAAUAUUACCACAGAACCAGUGUAGUUUCUGUAUGAGCCGUUAUAGAUUUCAGUUAAUAGUAACAAGUUUUUGAUUAUUAACAACAAUGUUGUCCUUCCACGUCUUAAAUAUUCCAUUCCAUAACACACAUUGUGACGAAUACAUAACUUGUUACCACUAACGAAAAUUUUUGCCAUCAAUAGCUGAAAAUAGCUGUUAGUUACACAAGCUGCAAAGCUAUAACUUUGGAUUUCAUAUUCAGAUUCUCUCUCAAAGUUGAACUUGGAACUACGGUUGAUGAUCUGCUAUUAUGCUGAGAAAACUACAAGAUUUUGAUUGGUUGUCAUCAGACAAUGUAAAAGAAAUUAGCAUGGUAUCCAAAUUCUUAAGAGUUUGAGAAGACAAUGCACUAUCUUUUUUAUAAUUCGCAGCAGACAGCAAUACAACAGCAGACUGCAACUGUCAUAUUCACAAAAUAUCUAUGGGCCAACCCUAGACCCGCAAUGGUGGAUUAGUCUCGCACAAGGCCACAGCAAAUAAUGACUUGUUGAAAAUAAUACAUUUUCAACAUUUGCUUUGUCAAUAAAACUCUGGAGCAUUAUUGUUGAGAGAAUUUGUGGAACAAAAAGAAGGCCAAGUUCGGAGGUUCUCUGCCUGUGCCUUGUGUUCAAGAGUUGGCCAAUAAUUCUAUGUUAGCUAUCCCUCCCAGAUACAUACGACCAGGCCAAGAUUUAACCACAAUUUCUGAUAAUAAUUUGGAUUCACGGCUAUUGCAGAGCUUGUUUUCUGAAGAGUCAACGGAUUCUGAGUUGUCCAGGCUCCACUUCGCUUGCAAAGAAUGGGCUUCUUUCCAGGUAAACUCCUUUGCCAAGUUAUUAUUAUUUUGCUUUUAAAGGAUUUGCUUGGGAUGAGACCUCAUCUACUAAAUACCACCCUUUGUCCCAUAUUGUUACUCGAGAGCAGAUAUCUGCAAAUUGCGAAUUACAUUCACAACCAGCUAAGCUACACCUGCCGUGAGGCACCCAAGUUUGUAUUUUUUUCCUUUGGACAUGCUUGGUUUAUUAAUAGUAGUCUGGCGUCAAGAAUUAAGAAAUCUGUAUACUCUCAAUCAAAGAGCACAGUCGAUCAAAUUCAGAUUAGAUUGUGUUUCAUUCUUAUAGGUCAAGUAGGCCACAAAUUUGGCCUACUCUGUAUCAAUGCUUUCUUACUCUGUAAGUUAGCAAUAAGAAAGCUCUAACAAAAUUUGAGUCUAGAUAGUCUUAACCAAGCCGGUUUAAGCACCCUUUUUUUUUAAAAAAAAAAAAAUUGUGGGAUGUAACUGACCUUGUCCGAUUAUGGACCACCUAACUUGCUUUCUUGUAUAGCUGAGAAGACAAACCUGCAUUCUUGAAAAUUAAAUUGUCUUUAAUAUCUUUCGGAUGUCUAGGCUUACGGUAGCUUGCGAAGAACUAUAAGCAAAUUUAUGAUGUAGUAUAAUGCAAAUGCGAUUCUAUUAGUUUAUUGAAAUCUAACAAAUAUGGAAGGAUUUGGACAAGCAUUUGUUAUAUCCGAGGAACAAAAGGUUGAUUGGAUUGACAUUUUCUUCAUGACAACUCUUCCAAUUCAUCUGAGGAAACCCCACUUGUUUCCUAAGCUCCCUCUUUACCCCUUAGAUUUCUCUCUCUCUCGUCAGUUAUUUGAUGGUUGCAAAUGUAUUAGGUUCAGAGAAAGAUCCCAAGUCAGUUAUAUUUAGUAAAAUUUGACAAUCAAACAUGAUUUUGAAAGAAUACUGUUAAAUAAUAACUUACUUAACAAUCCACCACAAUCAUAUACUAAACCUUCUAAUUGCGUCUUCUUUUUUCUUAUAGGAAAUCUUGGAAUUUAUUCAGCGGAGUUAAAAAUCUCUGGCCAUGAACGUGGUAUCGAAAAUGGGAAAAGUUCUAAAUAUCAAAGAUGAAGAAUUGAGAGAAUACUUUGAAAAUGGUUUCCAAUCAAUGGGGAUGAACUAUUACCCUCCAUGUCCUCAGCCGGAGAAGGUUGUGGGCCUCACAACUAAUUCUGAUGACUCUGUUCUUACCAUGCUGCUGGAAAUCAAUGAAGUAGAAGGUCUCCAGAUCAAGAAGGAUGGAAAGUGGAUUCCUGUUACACCUGUCCCAAAUGCUUUCGUUGUCAACAUUGGAGUCGUGUUGGAGGUGAUAAGUUAUUUUAACUUGACAUUCAUAUGAGCUAGCUAAUGUGUGCUUUCAUUAAUUCCCGUUGCUCCACUCCCUAAUGCUUUCAUUGUCGACAUUGGAGACACACUGGAGGUAAUAAUUAUAGUAAAUUACUUAACUUGGCAUUUAUAUGAGCCUGCUCAUGUGCUUUAAUAAUUUUUACAUGGCAGAUUGUAACCAAUGGGACAUACCGUAGCAUUGAGCAUCGUGUAAUUGUAAACUCUAUACAAGGAAGGCUUUCCAUUAGCACAGUUUACUUAGUGAUAUAUGAUGGUGAAAUGUACCCUACGUCCAAUUUGGUCUCUGAAAAUAAUCCUCUAUUGUUUAAAAGAGUGACAGUUGAAGAAUACUUUAGGAACCUGUGUGCUCGUAAGCUUAGGGGAAAAUCUCCUCUGGAUGCCUUGAGAAUUGAACAUGUUCAAGACUAGUAUAAGUUUAUUUUGGAUAACUAAAGAGUGUAGUACAAAAACCGUGGGGGACCUUGCUAUUGCAAUUUUGUGUGGAGCUAAAAAUAAGCAAUAAGUAUACGAAUAAUAAAUCCUUUGGUGAAAAUUAUCACCUAAAUUUAGGAAUAUACACGUUCUAUCACCAAAAAUCAAUAACAGAAUAUACGACAGCAUACCUAAGAUCAUAAUGCACAAUUUGUCUCUAGAGUCUAGUAGUUUGUCUUCCAAAUUAACAUGUUCUCCUAGAGAAUCCUUUAAAAUUCUCUGUGCACUCUCUCUAAUGAUGAGAUGUCAACAGAGAAUAGAACGAUACGUGUGACCUAGGGACAAUAACUACUUAUAUAAACAAAUUUUUCUUUUGUCUUUAUGUAUUCUUAUUCCAACCCAUCAUGGAAAUAGAAAAUAGUCUUAAGUCUCUGUACAUUAAAGGCCUACAAUUGAUUAGAUACAUUAAAGCCCAAAUUAUCGAAAACUUUAAUAGAUCAUUUUUAAUUUGCCUUAAACUUAUAUAAUAGUUCACAACAUAUAAUUAUUCACAUAUAAGCCCAACAUUGGAUCAAUGAUCUAACAAUGCUAGAUUAAAGAUCCAACAACCUUUCACUUGGGCUAUAUAUGUAACCUUAUAAUUAUACUUUGCAAAAAUAACCAUAUGAGCUCAAUUUUACUGUCAUUACUAAAAUGUAUCUAUAGUCAAUUCGGUCCAUCAAUCAUACCAACAAAGGAUCAAAACGACCUUUGUUACAACUAUCGUAACUUGACCCAUCAAUGCGCACUAUGCCAAUAUAGCUGAAUGACAUAGAUCAUGAUAUGGGCGUGUAGGAUGGAAAUUUCAUGUAAUGUGAUCUUAACAUGCCUAUUUCCAAUUGAUCCACCUUAAACUUUAGUGAGAUCAAAUUAUAUAAAAAUUAGAGUGUGAAUGAAUAAACCAAAACUUUAUUUCUGCAGAAAAUAACCUUAAAUAUCCCUAAACCGAAAAAUGUUUAUAUCAUAAGAACAUUUAAAAGUUACAAAAUCCCAUUAAAAAUGAAUAUCCUUUAAUGACACGACACCUAUAUGAACAGUGUGCCUACGAAAAAUUUUAGAUGGUAUUCCCUUAGUAAGCGGAUCCGUGAUCAUGGAUUUUGUACCAUUAUGCUUUAUAGACAAUUUUCCACUCUAAAUUCUUUAUUUAACAACUAGGAACUUGAUGUUUAUAUACUGUGACUUCGUCGAGCUCCUAUUGUUAUUGGAAUAUAGCACUGCUAACUUAUUGUCACAUAAUAACUUGAGUGGUCUAUCAAUACCAUCUAAAAUGUGUAACUCUGUGACGUAAUUCCUCAGCCAUAUUCUGUGAUUGGAUGUCUCGUUACAUGCUAUGAACUUUGCUAUUAUAGUAGAAGAGGCUAUAAGAGACUGCUCAACAGAUGUGGCUCGCUCUAAAAGAUAAGUUCAGUGGCACUUCGACUACUAAAUUGAGAAGGCUGAUGAUCAAGUUUGAUUCUUAUUGGAAUUGCCAAAAUCAUAUUAUGAGGCAGCAUCUAAGGGAGAUGUCAAACAUGAUUUGCGAACUUAAGGCUGCUGAACAUAUUUUGACUGAUGAACAAUAAGUCCAGGAAGUAAUAAGAUCUUUACUUGAUUCUUGGGUGCACAUGAUGGUGAAUAUGACUCACAAUGAAAGUAUUAGAACUUUCAAUGACAUAGAACAUCACCUAGAAUUAGAAGUAAAACGCCUUGAGGCAACUAAGCUUUUUGAUCGUGUUUAUUUGACCGAAUCAAAUUCGCACAAAGCUUCAAGCUUCAAGUGCAAAAGGGUCAUAAUUAUAACCAGAAUGGUGAGAAAUCUGAUCCUAAGAAGAGGAAUUUAGAUGCUAAGAAGCGCCCAAGGGGUAGACGCACUGACAAGAACAAUGACAAAUCUAAGAUGAAAUACUAUAAUUGUAGUGAGCCGGGUCACUUUGCUCGCGAGUGCACUGAGCCCAACUCCACUUUAUUAAAUUUUGUGUUAGUUAUGAGUUAUGUACUCCUAAUUGAUUCUCGUCCUAUGUAGACUGUAGACUCAGGAUCAACAGACUAUAUAGCUCGUGAUCAAAAUGCGUUUGUAGAGUAUCAUCAAAUUAGUCAAGGGACUAGAUGGAUAUACAUGGGCAACAACUCCAGAGUUGAAGCAAAAGAAAUAGACACCUACAAAUUGACUUUGCAUGGUGGAUGUAUUCUUUUAUUACACGAUGUCCUAUAUGCACUAGAGAUUCGACAAAACUUAGUUUCUGUUCCCAUUCUUCUUGAAUUAGGAUAUAAUUUAAACUUUUAUGAUUUUUUUUUGGAGAUUUUCUUAAAUUUAGUCCUUAUUAGAACUGACAUUUCGUUAAUGGUUUUAUUAUAUUAGAUACAAUACUUGAUAAUUCAAGUUAUGAUAAUAAUUGUUUUUCAUAUGCUACUUCUUUAAGUAAUAAUAAGAUAGAUGUUAUUACUUGGCAUGCUUGAUUAGGUCACAUAGGGCAAAAAAGAAUGAAUAGACUUACGAGAAAGGGCAUAUUGAGUUUACUUACCAAGGUUGAAUUGCCCAUAUGUGAGAAUUGUUUAGCUGAAAAAACAAUUAGAAAACCAUUUGACAAAGGAAUUAGAGUUGAAAAAUCAUUACAAUUAAUCCAUUCUGACAUCUGUGAUACAAUGAAUGUAAGGGCUAAACAUGGAGCCUCAUAUUUUAUAACAUUCAUUGAUGAUUAUUCAAGUUUCGGUCAUGUCUACUUGAUUUCUUAUAAAUCAGAAGCAUUGAAUUGCUUUAGAUUAUAUCUAAACAUGGUAGAGAAUCAACUAGAUAGUAAUGUUAAAGUUCUAAGGACUGACUGAUGACAUGAAUACCUUUCAAAGUAGUUCAAGGACUUGUGUAAUGAGAAAUGAAUAAAUAGACAACUGACUAUUUUUGGAACUCUGUAACAAAAUGGCAUGGCGGAAAGAAGGAAUAUAAUUUUUUUAGAAAUGGUUAGGUCAAUAAUGGCACACUCAAAUAUUCCAAUAUCAUAUUAGGGAGAUGCAUUGUUAACUACUGCCUAUAUAUUUAACCUAGUUCCUUCAAAAUCAGUUAGUUAUUCUCAUAUGAGUUAUAGACGGCUAAGAAACCUGACCUAUUUCAUUUGUGACCUUGGAGGUCUGUAGCUUAUGUUUAUAACUCCAUUCAUAAGUUUGGGAAAUUAGGAGAUAGAAGCAAAAAGCGUAUCUUUAUUAGAUACUCAGAACACUCCAAACGAUAUGUGUUCAUUGGUGAACAUGAAAGUGGAUUUUUAACUGAACUGGAAUCAUAGGAUGUUGAUGACUCUAUGAAAUGAAGUUAUCAUUAUAUUUCUAGACUUAAAUCAAGAUUUCUUAAAGAGUAAAUAAUGUCUUUCUAUUACUUUUUAAUGAUAUUUUGCAUUAACAUCCGUUUUAGUUUAAUUCUAGUAAAUUUUGUUUGGUUUCGAAUAAUCGUGUGCUUAAAUCAUAUACGCAAGUGUGGGUAAUUGGAAGUUUGAAUUUCAAGGACAAGAUGUUGUUGCAAUGAGCUUGCAAAAUGAAUGAAAGAACAUGGCUGUAGAAGAAUUAAAACAAGUCUGGAACAAUGCAGAUGUUGCAGACAUUGUUGUAGCAAUGUUAGAGCAUUGAUAGAGAAGAUUUCAUGUGAGGCACUUAAAAGAUUGAGAUAUGGAGUUUUCAAAUCUGGCAGAUACACACCCUAGACUUUCAGUUGCCCUAAGUUUUAUCUAUAAAAAGAGCACACAUGCAAAGGAAGAGAGAGGCCGUCAACCAAGAACAAAAACCGAAAAGAAAUAAAAGAAAAACAUAAUUCAAGAGCAAAAUUAAGGGCUGCAUCAUAGGAGAAUUUGUAGAAAUCAUUCAGGAACUUAGUCUUUCUUAGUCUUCUCUUGUUUUCUUGUUUAUUCUUUAAUCAUGAGGAUGCAUUUGCUGACCAAAACUCCAUUGUUCAUGUUUCUUUUACAUAUUAUAAACUAAAUUUAUUUGUGGUUGAGUGAUAAAUAAUCUUGAUGGUCCAUUGACUAUAUAAAUGUGUUGUUGUAUGCUUGCUAUAGCAUUUUAUUUUGAUGAUAUUUAUUUAUAUUCAUUAUUUCGGUUGACCACCCAUUUAAUGAUACAAGCUAAGAAAGAGCUACAAAAGGACUUAUCUUAAUGUAACAUAUCCGAGUAAUACUUGGUUUUAGAUUGGGUUUCUUGAGUUGAGUUUUACUUGAUUCCAAAAGGGCCAUGCCUAAUAUAAAAUUCGUGAUGAAUUAGACAUACGAAUUCACAUUGUAGGAUAAAUAGAACCUAAAUGUGUAAUGUUAUAUCUUAUGUUGGCAUAACAAUUGGUCACUAUUAGAUUGCAUAAGGAUAUAAGACAUCCAACAUGCGACAGUUGAGGAUACAAUAUGAUUUUGCCUAGUGCUGUAUCAAACGUUGUAGCAACCGAGCCAAAGAUUAGAAGAAACAGUCAAAACCAUUAAGAGAGUUUAAUCACUCAACUACUCCAUUCUCAUUGGCUUUAUUCUUAUGUUUGACAUGAGAAUUUUAUUUAUUGCCUUUUUAGUUAUUACAUUUUAUAGUUUAAUUAGUUAUUUAGUCUCAUUAAUUAUUUAGUCUAAAUUUAGAACACAAGCUGCACUGUUCAGGAUUAUUUUAGCAAUUCUGAUAACAUCAAUCCCUGUGGAGACGAUCUUGAAUAUUUAUCAUUAUAUUACUUAUUGUGUACACUUGCAUAUUGAUACUAAUAAUACAAGAAAAAUUGCAACAAAUGUCAGUUUUUUAGAAAAUGAAUUUUCUAGCAUUGAAGAAGUUGAUAAGGAUUUUCAAUUUUAUGAAUUAGAAGAUCCAAAUGGGGUUAUCACUUCUAAUGUCGAUAUUGGCAUUAGUACGAAUCCUCUGGGGAUUGUUACUCUGAGUGGGAGUGAAACACCGGACACUUCGAUUCGAAUUAAGGAAUCGACUUAGAAGAGUAGUCGUAAGUCAAUUCCUUGUCAUCAUUUUGAAAUUGAGGGAGAAGUUUUAUGAUUACUUCACACGAUAGUGAAGAGCCAAAUACUUUUAAUAAAGCUCUCACAUCGUCUACUAGGGAUUUAUAGAUGAAAGCAAUAGAAGAAGAGAUAAAAUCUAUGAAAGUUAAUCAAGUUUGGGACUUGCUUGAAUUUCUGCCUAAUCGUAAAAUUAUCAGAAAUAAAUGGGUUCUCCAUAUAAAAUGUAAAGUGGAUGGGACAAUCGAGAGAUACAAAAUAAGAUUAGUCGCUAAAGGCUAUACCCAAAAGGAGGGAAUAGACUAUAAAGAAACCUUUUCUCCUAUGGUAAGGUUUGCUUCUAUACGAUUAAUUUUGGUCAUUAUUGCACAUCUAGACCUUGAAUUGCAUCAGAUGGAUGUAAAUAUUGCAUUUCUCUAGAUAAUGAACUGAGAGGUAGGCAAAUUUGGUUUGGAUCAGUUUGAGACAAAUUAUCAAACCGAUCCAAACUGAUAUCGACCUAAAUUUUUUUUAAACCAAACCAACUAGAUUGGUUUUUUUCUUGGUUUGAGAUUAUUAGCUAAAAGCCCACCUCUUUUAUAUUGUUGUACCUAAAUUAUUUGUUAUUUUUUGUAUCCAUAAUCCAAAUUGAUAUCUCUUUUAUAUUAUUCAUAUCUACAUAACAAUUUAAAGAUACAUCCAUACAAGUUCACAACAGAAUACAUCCUAAUAAAGAAGUUCUCAACUUGUUCAUUCAAAACAAACUCACAAAAUUAAAAUAAACUUGAACAACAUUUGACAAUCAAAAUAUCGUGCAUCUUGUCCUUUAAAACUUAUGGCCCAAUUACUUUUGAUUUGUCAAAAUCUGCAUAAAAUGACAAAAUGAUAGAUUGCUUAACUUAGAAAAUAAUAUAAUUAUACUAUAUGUAAAGCAUAGGUACCUUGCUCCACAGACGUACAUAAUUCCAAAUCACUAAAGUAUGAUGACAAUACUUCUACAUCAAACUUCCUAAUAAUUUUUUCAUCCAUACCAGAUGCUUUAAGCCAUUGUUGACUAUAUAUCAAAGUCUCUACCAUUGUAGGGGUUAAUGAACUUCGAAAUGCAUAGACUACACGACCUCCAGUAUUAAAAACAGGUUCAGAAGCCACAGUAGAUACAGGAAUUGCUAACAUAUCCUUUGCAAUUUGUGACAAAGUCCCAAACCUUGCACUAUUUGCAAUCCACCAACUCAAAACAUCAAACUAAUCAUCAGUUUCAUCCUCACUAGGUUAGAACAAAUACCUUUCUACCUCAUUUUUCAAAUCAAUGGAAUCUUUCUGCACUUUUAACUGCUUAUAUUGAGUCUUUGUAUUAAUAAAUGCAUAGUCCUUGCCACUUUUCCUUCUUAAACCCACAUCAAUUGCCAAAACAUCAUUAGUAGAUUGGCUACCAUCACCAGAAGUAGAUUCUACAAGACAAUAGGUUUUACAUAGCUAUGAACAUAAAUUUAAGUAAAUAUGAAUACAGUUACAAAAAAAAAGAAAAAAGUAACUAUUGUUAUAACUGAAUCUAAUUUGAAAGUUUAAGAAUACACCUUUAAAAGUAGCUUCUUAAUGUUUGAUGUAAUUUCUUUCGCUUUCUCAAGAUUAUGCAAAUUUUCAAAGCAAAAUGACACAUAAUCAAAUUUGUACCUUAGAUAUGAAAUGAAUUAGAGUAAAUAAUUAUCACAAUUGAUUUUAUCAUAAAAAAUAAAAAUUCAAAUGAAAUAACAGAUUUUUACCUUGGAUCAAGUACCACAGCAAUGAUCAAUAGUUGAUGUAUAGUGUCCAUAGAACCCCAAUACUUGUCACACUUUAUUUUCAUUUUUUCUGCCCUUUUACUAAGAAGCACCUCUUUUUUUUUUCAAUGAAUGAAUGCAACUAGGUUUGAAUGGUGCAAAGAUGAUGAAAAUACAAGUUAGACAUGACAAAUAAUAAAGCACUGUAUUCAACUAUACCAUUAUUCACAAAUUUCAAAAACUCGAUAAAUAUUGCAGCAUUUUUCCAAUCUUCAGUUGUGGGUGGCCUGAUAUGUUCUGCUUUCCUCUCAUUGAAAAAACUCAUAUAUGGUCCAUCACAUUCCUCUUCUUUCAGACUUUCAAAAGCUUUCUGAAAGUGUAUAGCUAUGGACAACAUAGUGUAGAUAUAAUUCCAUCUAGUGGGCACAUGAUAUGCUAAAAGCCCUUCAUAUUCAAUUUUCUCUCUCUCAACACAUGAUUUAAAUUUAUAAUGAUAACUCUAUGAAAUGAGAGUUAUCAUGGCACUUUGAGACUUAAAUCAUGAUUACUUAGAGAGUAAAUGACAUGUUUUUAUUGCAUUUUAGUAAUGUUUUGAAUAAACAUUCCAUUUUAGUUUACUUUUAAUAAGUUUUGUUUGAUUCAGAAUAAAUUGUAUGCUUAAAUCAUAUGCAUAAUUGUAAGUGACCGGAAGCUCAAAUUUCAAGAAAGGAAUACGGCUGCAAUAGGCUUGUAAAGAUAAGGAAAGAACGUAAUUAGAGAAGAAUUGAAACAAGUCUGGAACAGUGUAGAUGCUGAAGCCAUUGUUGUAGCACUGUUGUUGUAGCAUCGUUGUUAUAGAUUUUCUGGAGCAUUGACAGAGAAGAUUUUACGCGAGAUACUUUGAAGUUUGCGGUCUGGAGUUUUCUAAAUUAGAAGAUGCACAUUCUAGGCUUCCAGUUGCCCUAAUUUUAAGCUACAAAAUGAGCACACAUGCAAAGAAAAGGGAGCCGUCAUUGGAGAAGAAAAAUAGAUAAACAACACAAGAAAAAACAAAGAUCAAGAGAGAGAAUUGAGGGCUGCAACUAAGGAAUUCGAGAAGAACAUCAAGCGGAUCUCACUCUUAUUUUUUGUUCUCUUGUUUCUAUCUCGUUAUGAUGAAUUGUUUGAUGGCUGAAACUAUUUUACUUCUUGUUUUAUCCCAAAUUAUGAACUAAAUUUAUUUGUGGUUGAAUAAUGAACAAACUUGAUGGUUAAUUGACUAAUAUUCUGUGUUGCUACAUGUUUGCUAUAGCACGUUGUUUUGAUAAUACUUAUUUCAAUUUACUAUUUCAAUUUACUAUUUCGGUUGACCACCCAUUUAGUGAUACUAGUUAAGAAAGAACCUAAAAAAGACUUGUCUUAGUGGAACAUAUGAAAGCAAUACGUGGUUUUAGAUUGGGUUUCUUGAGUUGGGUUUAACUUGAUUUGAAAAGGGUCAUGCUUAAUAUAAAAUUAGUGAUGAACUAGAUAUAUGGAUUCACCUUGUAGUGUAAUUAGAAUCUAAAAUGUGUAAUGUUAUAUACGAUGUUAGCAUAACAAUUGGUCACUGUUAAGUUGCAUUUAGAUAUAAGUUAUCCAACAUGCGACAGCUGACAAUACAUAAGGAUUCUGCCCAGUGCUGUAGCAAAUGCUAUAGCAAUCGAGCCAACAUUAGAAAAAUAGUCAAAACCAUUAAGUGAGUUUAAUCGCUCAACUACUCCAUUCCCCUUGGGAACAUCCUUGUAUUUGCUGUGUUGCUACAUGUUUGCUAUAGCACGUUAUUUUGAUAAUACUUAUUUCAAUUUACUAUUUCGGUUGACCACCUAUUUAGUGAUACUAGUUAAGAAAGAACCUAAAAAAAACUUGUCUUAGUGGAACAUAUCAAAGCAAUACGUGGUUUUAGAUUGGGUUUCUUGAGUUGGGUUUAACUUGAUUUGAAAAGGGUCAUGCUUAAUAUAAAAUUAGUGAUGAACUAGAUAUAUGGAUUCACCUUGUAGGGUAAUUAGAAUCUAAAAUGUGUAAUGUUAUAUAUGAUGUUAGCAUAACAAUUGGUCACUGUUAAGUUGCAUUUAGAUAUAAGCUAUCCAACAUGCGACAGCUGACAAUACAUAAGGAUUCUGCCCAGUGCUGUAGCAAAUGCUAUAGCAAUCGAGCCAACAUUAGAAAAAUAGUUAAAACCAUUAAGUGAGUUUAAUCGCUCAACUACUCCAUUCCCCUUGGGAACAUCCUUGUAUUUGCUGUGUUGCUACAUGUUUGCUAUAGCACGUUGUUUUGAUAAUACUUAUUUCAAUUUACUAUUUCGGUUGACCACCCAUUUAGUGAUACUAGUUAAGAAAUAACCUAAAAAAGACUUGUCUUAGUGGAACAUAUCAAAGCAAUACGUGGUUUUAGAUUGGGUUUCUUGAGUUGGGUUUAACUUGAUUUGAAAAGGGUCAUGCUUAAUAUAAAAUUAGUGAUGAACUAGAUAUAUGGAUUCACCUUGUAGGGUAAUUAGAAUCUAAAAUGUGUAAUGUUAUAUAUGAUGUUAGCAUAACAAUUGGUCACUGUUAAGUUGCAUUUAGAUAUAAGCUAUCCAACAUGCGACAACUGACAAUACAUAAGGAUUCUGCCCAGUGCUGUAGCAAAUGCUAUAGCAAUCGAGCCAACAUUAGAAAAAUAGUCAAAACCAUUAAGUGAGUUUAAUCGCUCAACUACUCCAUUCCCCUUGGGAACAUCCUUGUAUUUGUUGUGUUGCUACAUGUUUGCUAUAGCACGUUGUUUUGAUAAUACUUAUUUCAAUUUACUAUUUCGGUUGACCACCCAUUUAGUGAUACUAGUUAAGAAAGAACCUAAAAAAGACUUGUCUUAGUGGAACAUAUCAAAGCAAUACAUGGUUUUAGAUUGGGUUUCUUGAGUUGGGUUUAACUUGAUUUGAAAAGGGUCAUGCUUAAUAUAAAAUUAGUGAUGAACUAGAUAUAUGGAUUCACCUUGUAGGAUAAUUAGAAUCUAAAAUGUGUAAUGUUAUAUAUGAUGUUAGCAUAACAAUUGGUCACUGUUAAGUUGCAUUUAGAUAUAAGCUAUCCAACAUGCGACAGCUGACAAUACAUAAGGAUUCUGCCCAGUGCUGUAGCAAAUGCUAUAGCAAUCGAGCCAACAUUAGAAAAAUAGUCAAAACCAUUAAGUGAGUUUAAUCGCUCAACUACUCCAUUCCCCUUGGGAACAUCCUUGUAUUUGUUGUGUUGCUACAUGUUUGCUAUAGCACGUUGUUUUGAUAAUACUUAUUUCAAUUUACUAUUUCGGUUGACCACCCAUUUAGUGAUACUAGUUAAGAAAGAACCUAAAAAAGACUUGUCUUAGUGGAACAUAUCAAAACAAUACGUGGUUUUAGAUUGGGUUUCUUGAGUUGGGUUUAACUUGAUUUGAAAAGGGUCAUGCUUAAUAUAAAAUUAGUGAUGAACUAGAUAUAUGGAUUCACCUUGUAGGGUAAUUAGAAUCUAAAAUGUGUAAUGUUAUAUAUGAUGUUAGCAUAACAAUUGGUCACUGUUAAGUUGCAUUUAGAUAUAAGCUAUCCAACAUGCGACAGCUGACAAUACAUAAGGAUUCUGCCCAGUGCUGUAGCAAAUGCUAUAGCAAUCGAGCCAACAUUAGAAAAAUAGUCAAAACCAUUAAGUGAGUUUAAUCGCUCAACUACUCCAUUCCCCUUGGGAACAUCCUUGUAUUUGCUGUGGUAUUUUACUUUAUUGCAUUUUUCUCAUUGCGUUUUUAUUUUUAUUAUUUCAUUAGUUUAAUAAUUUGUUUUAAUUCUUGUUUAUAAUAAAAAUUGCACUAAUAAAAUUGUUGUAGCAAUUCCUAUAACAACCUAUGGAGACAAUCUUGAAUAUUCAUCAUUAUAUUACUUAUUGUGUACACUUGCACAUUGACAUCAAUAGCAUUAGAAAACCUGCAACAUGCAACCUCAAACCAGAAGACCUCACAUAUAUAAUUGCAUUGCAAAUGCUAGUAAUUAAGUCAUGCAUCUCUUUCAGCCGUUCAGUCACAAUUAUAUUAACAAUAUGGGCACAACACCACAAAUGUGAAUAAUCUCCAUCUAAAGUCAUUGCAUCACCCUUCCAAUUUUUCAACUUUUUUUUUCAAAUAAUUGAUAGAAACGUCAUUAGCACUCACAUUAUCAACUAUAACAGUCAUCACUUUUUCUAUACCUCAAUCAAGUUAGCAUUUUUUAAUAAGGUUGCCGAUUAAGUCCCCUUUGUCGCUUGUUAUUUGGAAAAAAAAAUUCAAAAUUUUCAUAUGCAAUUUCCAAUUAUGAUCAACCCAAUGGGUUGUCACAACAUAUAAUUAAAAUUUUUUAUGGAAGUCCAAAUGUUUGUGGUAAUAGAAACUCUAUACUUAUUUGCAAUAAAAAUAUUUUUGAAUGCUGCAUUCUCAACUAAAUACAGUUGAUAUAUAUCUCUAACAAGUGUUCCCCUCGAAGGAGGGCCAAAUCUAGGAUAAAGUUUAUCUCACAAAAGAUGAAACCUAUAAGACUCUACCUUCCUAAAUGAAACCUUAUUAAGAAUAAAAUACAUAACUACAUUCUUCCUACAAUCCUCCUGAUCAAACUUUCCAGCAAUCCCCAACCCAAUACCAUACACAAUAUUCCCAGUGCCACUACCACUUGCCAUAUUAGACUUUUUUUUCUUAUCACGGAAGCGAGCUAAUUUAACUCGAGUCACAUAAUCCAAAGUAGCCCAAUAUUUUUCACAUUGUUCUCUUAAGUGAGUCCACAAAUUAAAAGUCUCAUUAAACUUACUAUCACACUUAUACUAGUUCCCACAAUAUUUGCACUUACAUGUCCUAUUCACUUAAUCUUUGAUUUAAUGAGGCCAAACUUUUGAACCCCUUUCACUGUCAUGAAGACGACCACUCCCUGUUCUAGAUUUCCUACUUUUAGGUUCUAGAAAAUCAUCCAUCAAUAUUUCUCCAUUUUCUAUGAUAUUAUUCACAUUGGAAUUAUCUUCCAUGUUGAGAGCUUCUAUAAUUAAUAAAAAUUAAAAAACAUUAGUUAUGGAAUCAAUUAAUCAAAUAAAUUAUCAUCAAUUAUACCAAAAUCCAUUUUAACUUUUGACUAAAAUAAAAUAAAAUUGUAGCAAGUAAAAUAAAAUCAAAACAUGCCAUUUUGUUCCCAUUUUUAAAAUUAUGACUAUGAGACUUGAGAAUGAGCGAUUGAGAUUGAGAGAGUUGAGAAUGAUAGGAGGCACUGGAGGUUGAGGCAGCUGUGAGUGUUGGACAAUUAGGUUUUUGUGUUUUUGUUUUUAUAAUAAGAAGUAUGCUAUUGUGUAUGAAAGUGUACAUUUCUUCUGUUAAUAAUCCAAUAAUAAAUUGACACAUCAUAUGUCUUAAAGCUUUAUAAAUUUUCUAGAUUGGAUUGGUUUGCCGAAAUCCAAAUCGAGUGAUGUCGGUUUGCAAUCCAAUAAAUCAAAACUAGUUUUUUUACUAAUGAAACCGAUCCAAAUGGUCGGUUUGGAUAGGUUCAGUUAAAAUAUGCCCACUUGUAAUAGAACCUUAAAUUCUAUCAAGCUAUAGUUUCUUAGCUUUAGGAUGGUUAAGGAAGACCAUUGUGUGUACAUUAAGAGAUAUAAAGACGCUUUUACAAUAUUGACUUUGUAUAUGGAUGAUAAAUUAUUGGCAGCAAAUAGUAAAGAGUUUGUCAAAAUUAUUAAAGAUUGGCUACAUUCAAAUUUUGACAAGAAAGAUAUCGGCGAAGCAACUUAUAUCUUAGGGGUCAAAAUUUUUAAGGAUCGUUCAAGGAAAUUUAUGGCUCUGUCACAAGAGUCUUACAUUAAGAAAAUCAUUGAAAGAUUCAAUGUGGCUGAUUGUAAGCACAAGGAUACCCCUAUAGCUAAAGGACAAUCUUUUAGUCUCGAUAUGUGUCCCAAGACUCCUCAAGAAAAAGAAAGAAUGACUAGAGUUCCUUUUGCAAAUGCCAUUGGAAGUCUUAAGUGUGUCAUAAUGUGUAUAAUGCCUGAUAUUAGUUAUGUUGUAGGACUAGUAAGUAGAUACCAGUCUAAUCCUGGUCAGAGGCAUUGGAGUACUGUUAAAAGGAUUUUAGCAUAUCUCAAAUGCACUGCAAAUUAUUGUUUAUGCUAUCAAGGAGGUGGUUUGCGGCUUGUUGGAUAUUCAGAAGCCGACUAGGGUGGUGAUCUGGAUUAGCGCAAAUCGGCUUCAAGAUAUGUAUUCUUGCUAAAUAGAGGAACAAUUACAUGGAGUAGCAAGAAGCAAACAUGCACGACUUUAUCAAUGGUGGAAGCCGAAUAUAUUGCAUGUUCUGCAGUAGUGCAAAAAGUUAUGUGACUUAAGAGAUUUAUAGAGAACUUAGAGAUUAAUAUUAGUAAUGAUAAUCUAGUGACUAUCUAUUGUGACAAUCAAGCUACUAUCCCUUUCUCUAAUGAUGCUAAAUACCAUACCAAAUCGAAACACAUUGAGUUAAAUACAAUUUUGUAAGAGAUAUUUUGGCAAAGAAAGAAGUAGUCAGCCGUACAAUAUAUAUCUACACAGAGCAUGAUAACUGAUCCACUUACCAAAGCUGUAAUAAGGGAUGUAUUCGCCUAUCAUGCUAAAUCAUUAGGGCUACGUAGAUUAUAAAUUACUACUAUUAAGAUGUACUUAUUUGUUAUAAACAUCUUCAUUACAUAAGUUGUUUGAAAAUGUAAUAGUAUCUCUUAUUUCAAUUUAUUCCAUGAAAGACAUAAUUACACAUAUAUAAGAGUAUGUCGUCAGGUCCAGACUAGUAUUUUUACACAAGCGGUCACCUCAAUUGCUUUAGGAGCAAGAUGAGAUGAGACAAGUAGAAUAAUAAAACAAUAUUUUUGUGUGAGAGCCAAAUAAAAAGCAUUAUUCUACAAGUUUUUUUGCCUUGACUAGAAUCAAGAGGUCUCACACGAUUUUCAUUAUAGACUGACUAUGAUAUACCCCACCAUCAUGGAGACUUGAUUGAAGCUAGAUGUGAGAUCUUACUUUUUACGCUAGAAGACAGCGUUCAUUCUAAAAGAGUGACUAGACUAAGAUCUAUAGUCCUGGAAUGGAAAAUUUAUCGUAACACGUGUAUCAUACCACGCGUGCUUGGUAAUCAAAAUGGAAAAUGAAAGAAUCUUCAAUCUUUCUCAUUGUGUAAGUUUCAUAUAACUUUUUAUAAGUCAAUCCUGGUAUCAUCUUCUUCUCUUCUUCGUGAAGAUUAAAAUUAAGAACAUUGAACAAUCCAUAAAAAGGGCAUUUAUACUGUGAUCAGAUAAGGAUUUCCGCUUGCGAUUUCUUCUGACCAUUAACAUGAUCCAAUACUCGAUUACUCCGCUGCUGAAUUCAAUAAGAAAAAUAUUUCUAGAAUUUUCAUUUUUCCUUCAGACCAUGUAAGAAGCAUACGAACAGGAUGAUCCGGAGUCAAAAGGUGAACGAGGUGACGGCUCGUCCGUUAGUACUAUUAAUGUAUAAGGUAAUAUGGGAAUUACUAAUAAUUAAUCGACUAGCUGAUUUGUUAGUUAUGAUUAUCAAUGACGGUCUAUUUCCUGCCCAUAUUUUACCAUGCUGUUGAAUGGUCCCCUUAAAAUAAUCCAGAUCAGUCAUUUGCAUAAAAAUAUAUCAUGAGCGGUUAGGUGGAGGAUGCUGAUUUGUUAGAAAAUAAUUGUUUUCAACUCUUGCGAUUGUCUGCACCCUGCACUCUUGUUCCAAAACCAAUACAAAGCUGUAGCAAUCUUAAGAGGAUUUGUGGAACAAAAGAUGGCCAAGAUUGGAGGUUCUCUGCUUGUUCCUUGUGUUCAAGAGUUGGUCAAGAAUCCUAUGUUAGUUGUCCCUCCUAGAUACAUUUGUCCGGACGAAGAUUCACCACUCAAUUCUGAUCAUACUUUGAUUUCACAGAUACCAGUUAUUGACAUGCAGGGCUUGCUUUCUGAAGAAUCAAUGGAUUCUGAGUUAGCCAAGCUCGACUUCGCUUGCAAAGAAUGGGGUUUUUUCCAGGUAAAAUGCUUUAGCAGAGUUAGAAAGAUUUUUCAUGCUUGUCUGUGAUUUAAGAAUCAUGAAAUCUGCAAAACUCUCAGUCACAAAUUAUCUAUUUUUGAAACCCAGUUUCCAUUGAUUUAGCAUGUCAUGAUUUCAAAUUUCCCAUCUAGUCCUUUUGCUGCUUUCAGUGCUUCUAGGACUGCAGCUUGUGAAAUGUCAAGGAAGUUGUCUCUUGUUUUAUUGUACAAUUUAUGAGGCGAUAUGAGAAGAAAACACUCACCAUUUAUUUCUGAAACCCAGAUUCCAUUGAUAUAUUUGUUUUUGACUUUCUUUAUUACUUUACCUUUCCAUAUAGCCAUAGAUUUGUUAGUAUAAUUUGUAUUAAAAGAUGCCCAUGACAAAGUUCACCUAUUUUGUCUCAAUAGCUUUUGGUAGCUUAUGAGAAAUAUGCUUCUGUCAAUAUGUGAUUAAAGAUAUCGUAAUUGUAUAAGACUCCCGCAGAUUAUUAGCUGUUCUAGAAUAUUCAAAUUUCUCCAAAACUAUGACUAAAAAACACUUGUAAAAAUCAAUCAUUGAUUAGAUUUAUAAACAAAAUAAAAUUGGUGUUUAAUGCAACAGCAAUGUUCUCAGUUGAAAUGUAACAAAUGCUUUUAGCCAUCUUUGAUAGCAAAUCUUGUCUCUAAAUUAGUCAAAUAAGUUGCAAUCUGUCUUCAUAAAACGCCUGGACGAUUGUGAACCUAGUGGCACGAUUAUCAAAUCUUAGCUGCUGUUCAUUCCUGCAUAAUUUCAGCUGGUAAACCAUGGAGUAAGCUCAGCAUUUCUAGAGAAAGUGAAGAAAGAGGUUAAGGGCUUCUUCAAUCUCAGCAUGGAAGAAAAGAAAAAAUAUUGGCAGCAUCCAGGAGAUGUAGAAGGAUUUGGACAAGCCUUUGUUGUAUCUGAGGAACAAAAGCUUGAUUGGGCUGACAUUUUCUCCAUGAUCACUCUUCCAGUUCAUCUGAGGAAGCCACACUUAUUUCCUAAGCUCCCUCCUUCCCUCAGGUUCUCUCUUUUUGUGGUUGAUAUGGAUUUGCAAACAAAAAGAGAAAAUUAAACCUUCUAUGAUUCUAUCUAAUGUUUUACCUUCUUUUUUCUUGUAGAGACACCUUGGAAGUUUACUCGAUGGAGUUAAAAUCUCUGGCCAUGAACCUGAUAUCGAAAAUGGGAAAAGUUUUAAAUAUCAAAGAUGAAGAAUUGAGAGAAUUCUUUGACAAUGGUUUCCAAUCAAUGAGGAUGAACUAUUACCCUCCAUGUCCUCAACCAGAAAAGGUUAUGGGCCUCACCCCUCAUUCUGAUGGCUCUGCUCUUACCAUUCUGCUACAAAUCAAUGAAGUAGAAGGUCUCCAGAUCAAGAACGAUGGAAAAUGGAUUCCUAUCACACCGCUGCCAAAUGCUUUCAUUGUCAACAUCGGAGACACAUUGGAGGUAAUAAUUAUGAUUACUUUCCUUGGCAUUUUUAUGUCCCUUCUCAUGUGCUCUAAUAUUUUUAACAUUGCAGAUUAUGACCAAUGGGACAUACCGUAGCAUUGAACAUCGUGCAAUUGUGAACUCUAUACAAGAAAGACUUUCCAUUGCCACAUUUUACACAAAGAGAUUAGAUGGCGAAAUAUAUCCAGCAUCCAGUUUGAUAUCUGAAAAAACUCCUGCAUUGUUUCGAAGAGUGACAGUUGAAGAAUACUUUAGGAGCCGGUUUGCUCGUGAGCUUAGGGGAAAAUCUCACCUGGAUGACCUGAGAAUUCAACAUGGUCGAGGCUAGUACAAUUAUUUUGGAUAAUUGCAGAUUUGUGCCAGGAAUUUUCUGAUGAUAAUUGUGCUUAUUUUGGAUCAGUUUCUUUCAUUUUUGGAAUAGAAUUUUUGCAGGCUUGUCAUGUUUUUAUCAGAUUUCAAGAACUAUUUCACUUGCUUUCGGAGUUAAAGAUGAUUCAAAUAUGAUAUUAAAUACUUAAGCAUGCCAUUCUAACGCUUGCUUGUCCAAUUACAUCCUUAUCAACAAUAUAUUUUGUUACAAUGUCACUGAAGUUGAAUAGAUAACAACAUGCUUGGGUUAUAUGUUGUCAUUUGGCUUAACCAUCCGUCACAUUAAGCAGAUUGUUGUGAUAAUGUGUUUUACAACCUUCCCCAGUAGCAUGAAUGUAGUUAAAAUAAUUGUAACAAAUUUUGUAUUGCUUGUAGCAACAUUGUUCUCCAUAGCACACAUUGCCUGAGUACAAAAGUUGUAACUUGUUACCAAUAAUAAUAAUAAAAAAUAAUAAUAAUAGUAAUAAUAAUUAUCAAUAACUAAAAAUGAGACAGAUGUUACUUUCAUAAGUGGAACUUGGAUUCACAAGCAAAAUAUGAGGUUUUAAUUGGUUGUUAUCAGAAAAAAAUAUAAAGAUAAUUAAUGCCUAAACAUAAACAGCUAUAAUUGUAUAAAUGACUAAUCGAUUACAAUUCGAAUCCACUAUUUUCUUAAUAGUGCACAGUCAAUUCCAACACAGCACCAGAUUGCAGCGUGUUAGAAAAAUUUUUAGGUAAUCAUAUAUAUGUUUUAAUCAAUUAUGAUAAUAUGUUUACCCAUAUAUAAGAUUUGAAUAGAUAAAAAGUAAUACUCGAGAACCACCAAAGUCCUUUUAACUGCAGACACGCAAUGGUGGAUUACUCGCACAAGUCAAGAGCAAAAUACCAAGUUGUGAAAGAAAAAUAAAAAGGGGAAAAGAAAACAAAACGCAGUAUUGAAAAUACCUUCGCCUUUUGGGUUGAUGACAAGGUGGGAACCACAAAUAAUUAAUUGGCUGAUGGUUUGUCAUCGUUAUCCAUAGAGGAUAGUUUUGACCUGCGAAUAUUUUAUUUUGCAUUCGAAACAUGUGCAAAAAAUUAAAAAUACUUCAUGAAUGGUUAGGUGGAGGAUGCUGAUUAAUUACUUGGAAAAAGAUUCCUUUUUACUUUUGUGAUUGUCAGCACUCAGUCUUGUUCCAAAACCAAUACAAAGCUGCAGCAAUCUUGAAAGGAUUUGAGGAACAAAAGAUGGCCCAGAUUGGAAGUUCUCUCCUUGUGCCUUGUGUUCAAGAGUUGGUCAAGAAUCCGGCGUUAGUUGUCCCCGACAGAUACAUACGUCCAGAUCAAGAUUCACCCCUCAUUUCUGAUGAUAUUUUGAUUUCACAGAUACCAGUUAUUGACAUGCAAAGCUUACUUUCUAAAGAAUCAAUGGAUUCUGAGUUAGCCAAGCUCGACUUCGCAUGCAAAGAAUGGGGUUUUUUCCAGGUAUAAUGCUUUAGCAAAGUUAGAAAAUUGUUUCGCCAGAACAUGCUUGUUUGUGAUCAAGAAUCGAGAAAUAUGCAAAUUGUCAAUCAAAUAGGCAAAAUUAAAAUUCAUAUUUAUUUCUUAAACCCACGUAUCAUUGAUGUUAGCAGAUCAUGGUUUCACUUUCCAGUGUUGUCUGUGGCUUAGGACUGCAGCUUGUGAAAAGAAGAACUUGUCUCUGGUUUAUUUAUUAUUGACUUUCUAUAUUGCUUUACCUUUUCUCCCUCCAGGCAUGGUUUAAUUAGCUAUUUCAUUCCUAAAUGUCAAACAGGCAAUAUGUAUUAAAAAGAUUGUCUUGAGAAAUUUCACCUCCUCUGCCUCAAUAGCUUUUGGUACCUUAUGAGAAAUAUGCUUCUGUCAAAAUUUUAAAAGAUAUACUAUAGUAAAUUGUGUAAGACCUCUUAGAAAAUGUACUCAUUUCUGUAGUCAAUGUUGCAAAUUUACUUUAAUUUAAAGACAAUUAGAAGUAACAUUGAGAUUAUUUGCUGUUGUAUGAUUUUUCAAAUUCUAGGUGUGAACAAACCACAAGAACUUUAUGCUCAUUAUAGUUAUUCUAGAAUAACCAAAAUUUCUCCGAUAGAAUGAGUAGAAAACACCUGUGGAAACUAAUUGUUGGGAAGAUUUAAAUGUAACAAAUGCUUUUAGCCAUCUUUAAUGGUAAAUCUUAUCUCUAAAUCAGUCAGAUAAGUUGCAAUCUGUCUUAAUAAAACACCUGGACUAUUGUGCGCUUAGUGGCACGAUUAUUAAAUCUUUGCUGCAUUUCGUUCCUGUAUUUUUUUCAGCUGGUAAAUCAUGGAAUGAGCACAGCAUUUCUAGAGAAAUUAAAGAAAGAGGUUGAGGGAUUCUUCAAUCUCAGCAUGGAAGAAAAGAAAAAAUAUUGGCAGCGUCCAGGAGAUAUGGAAGGAUUUGGACAAGCCUUUGUUGUAUCGGAGGAACAAAAGCUUGAUUGGGCUGACCUUUUCUCCAUGAUGACUCUUCCAGUUCAUCUGAGGAAACCACAUUUAUUUCCUAAGCUCCCUCCUUCCCUCAGGUUCUCUCUCUCUCUCUCUCUGUGUCAAUGUCAUUUUGAUUUGCAAACAAAUAAAGGAUAGUGCAUCUUCUUUUCCUGUAGAGAGACCUUGGAAGUUUACUCAAUGGAAUUAAAAACCCUAGCCGAGAACCUAAUAUCGAAAAUGGGAGAAGUGUUAAAUAUCAAAGAUGAAGAAAUGAUAGAAUUCUUUGAAAAUGGACUGCAAGGAAUGAGGAUGAAUUAUUACCCUCCAUGUCCUCAGCCCGAGAAGGUUAUGGGCCUGUCGCCGCAUUCUGAUGCAGCUGCACUUACCAUUCUGCUACAACUUAAUGAAGUGGAGGGUCUCCAGGUAAAGAAGGAUGGAAAGUGGAUUCCUG
rnacentral:lncRNA from 1 species